CACGUACUCCCUCCAUCCCAAAAUUCUUGUCUUAGAUUUGUCUAGAAAAGGAUGUAUCUAAAUACUAAAACGUNNNNNNAUACAUUUAUAUCUAGACAAAUUUAAGACAAUAAUUUUGGGACGGAGGGAGUAUUUU
rfam:Hordeum vulgare subsp. vulgare, WGS project CAJW01000000 data, contig: morex_contig_318410